rnacentral:rRNA from 1 species
GAUGAACGCUGGCGGCGUGCCUAAUACAUGCAAGUCGAGCGAACAGACGAGGAGCUUGCUCCUCUGACGUUAGCGGCGGACGGGUGAGUAACACGUGGAUAACCUACCUAUAAGACUGGGAUAACUUCGGGAAACCGGAGCUAAUACCGGAUAAUAUAUUGAACCGCUUGGUUCAAUAGUUCAAGACGGUUUUGCUGUCACUUAUAGAUGGAUCCGCGCCGCAUUAGCUAGUUGGUAAGGUAACGGCUUACCAAGGCGACGAUGCGUAGCCGACCUGAGAGGGUGAUCGGCCACACUGGAACUGAGACACGGUCCAGACUCCUACGGGAGGCAGCAGUAGGGAAUCUUCCGCAAUGGGCGAAAGCCUGACGGAGCAACGCCGCGUGAGUGAUGAAGGUCUUCGGAUCGUAAAACUCUGUUAUUAGGGAAGAACAAAUGUGUAAGUAACUAUGCACGUCUUGACGGUACCUAAUCAGAAAGCCACGGCUAACUACGUG